rnacentral:lncRNA from 1 species
UGUUGUUGUGUGAUUUUUCUAGUGAUAACCUGUUAUUAUUUUUUACGUCUUUUAUCCAAUUGUAUGUGGCAUUUUUUCUAUGUAUCUGCUUUUAUAACUACAGCCAGUCUUUACGCUAUUAUAGCACUGAAUGGUAAAGAUUGCUUUAAUUUAUCAGUGAGAAGUAAAAUUAAAUAUUGUGUUGUAUAAAGCUUUGGUUGUAGUUGAGUCAACUAGAAUUCUAGACAAAAGGAAAACAACUCCCAAUUUUUAAAAAUGACUUUAAAAAUGACAUCAUUUAUAUUUUUAGAACAGAUAAUAGAUUCCUGCACCUUGCAAAAGUUACAUAAUUGUCUUGACAAGUGUAACAUCAUUUUGUGCCUUUUAAAAAAUAUCUGAGUAUAUAUUACAUUAAUAAAUUUGUUGAGAUGUUCAUGUAUAGGAUGUAUUGAAUGUUAUGAUCAAUGCACUAUAUUUUAUAUAUCAAAAAGGUAGUGAUCAGCCUUAGAAGAUUUAGAUAUCAAGUCAUUACCAUAGGGUUCUGAUUGCAUUAAGUGCCAGUCUGUCUAAGAAUCGGGCAGUGGUGAAAACAUGACCAAAAAAACCCAUCCAAUUUGACAUUGAUUUCAGUUCAUAAUAUGUAGUUAUGCACAAAAAUAACAUUCAUUUCCAUUUUCUGUUCUGGUA